UCUCUCUCCCUCUCUCAGGUAGGUGACCAGCCAGCUCCUGCCUCGCUGGAGAGUGGGCCCAGUCUCCCAGGAACCCAGAAAGCUGAAGAGGAGGGGUCUGAGGCAGUUCCAGGUGGGAAAGCUGAUGGGCCCUGGAGGUGGCUGCCUCCUUCCUCUUCUGGGGCUGAGGGGAGGAGGGCUUGGCUGGUGUAGGAUGGAGUGGAGCUGCAUCUCCACCAUGCUUGUGUGGGGUAGCAACCUGGGGGUGAGGCUAGAAUGCUGGGAUGAGGUGAGAAGGGAGCCAAGGUCAGAGGGUGCAGCUGAGGGAAGGACUUCUGGCCCCGAGCGACCAGGAAUUGAACGUGUGUACUGGUCUUGGGGUGAGGAGGUGGAGUCAGGGCAGGAUUAGGAUUCAGCGGUGGACCCCAGCGGUUUAGGAAAGUAAU